rnacentral:misc_RNA from 1 species
GAUGAAGAACGUAGCGAAAUGCGAUAAGUAAUGUGAAUUGCAGAAUUCAGUGAAUCAUCGAAUCUUUGAACGCACCUUGCGCCCUUUGGCCAUUCCGAAGGGCAUGCCUGUUUGAGUAUCAUGAACACCUCAACUCUUUAUGGUUUUCCAUGAUGAGCUUGGACUCUGGGGGUUUUGCUGGCUCACAGUCGGCUCCUCUGAAAUGAAUCAGCUUACCCGUGUUUGGUGGGUAUCAUAGGUGUGAUAACUAUCUACGCUUGUGGUUUUUCCACCAGGUAACCUUCAGCAGUGGAGGUUCGCUGGAGCUCAUAGAUGUCUCUCCUCAGUGAGGCCAGCCCUUUGAAUGUUUGAUCUCAAAUCAGGUAGGACUACCCGCUGAAAUUAAGCAUAUCAAUAAGCGGAGGA